rnacentral:rRNA from 1 species
UGCAAGUCGAACGGAAAGGCCCACCACCUUGGUGGUGGGUACUCGAGUGGCGAACGGGUGAGUAACACGUGGGUGAUCUGCCCCGCACUGUGGGAUAAGCCUGGGAAACUGGGUCUAAUACCACAUACGACCAUGGCGUAGGGGUCAUGGUGGAAAGCCUUGUGCGGUGUGGGAUGAGCCCGCGGCCUAUCAGCUUGUUGGUGGGGUAAUGGCCUACCAAGGCGGCGACGGGUAGCCGGCCUGAGAGGGUGGACGGCCACAUUGGGACUGAAACACGGCCCAGACUCCUACGGGAGGCAGCAGUGGGGAAUAUUGCACAAUGGGCGCAAGCCUGAUGCAGCGACGCCCCGUGGGGGAUGGAAGGCCUUCCGGUUGUAAACUCCUUUCGCCCGGGACGAAACCCACCUGGUGGGUGACGGUACCGUGGAGAAGAAGCACCGGCUAACUACGUGCCAGCAGCCGCGGUAAUACGUAGGGUGCAAGCGUUGUCCGGAUUUACUGGGCGUAAAGAGCUCGUAAGUGGUGUGUCGCGUCGUCUGUGAAAUUCCGGGGCUUAACUCCGGGCGUGCAGGCGAUACGGGCACGACUAGAGUGCUGUAAGGGUAACUGGAAUUCCUGGUGUAGCGGUGAAAUGCGCAGAUAUCAGGAGGAACACCGAUGGCGAAGGCAGGUUACUGGGCAGUUACUGACGCUGAGGAGCGAAAGCAUGGGGAGCGAACAGGAUUAGAUACCCUGGUAGUCCAUGCUGUAAACGGUGGGCGCUAGGUGUGGGCUGUGUGUUUGCAGUCUGUGCCGUAGCUAACGCAUUAAGCGCCCCGCCUGGGGAGUACGGCCGCAAGGCUAAAACUCAAAGGAAUUGACCGGGGCCCGCACAAGCGGCGGGAGCAUGUGGAUUAAUUCGAUGCAACGCG